UUCUUUCCCUUUUCUUUAUUUUUUUUUCCUCUCAAAGUUCAAACUCCCAAUAAUUCUUCUCAACUUUCUUUCUUCUGAUUUCUGGGAUUGAAGAUUCAGAAUGCCGAAUUGGGCCUUGAUGAACUGUUGCCAGCACGAUCAAGUUGUCUUCUUGACCACUAUUGGAGUCUUCACCGUCGUUAUCCUCUUGCUCUGGAGAACAGUACUACUCACACCCUUUAAGCUCAUCACAGUGUUCUUGCAUGAAGCAAGUCAUGCUAUUGCUUGCAAACUCACAUGUGGUCAUGUGGAGGGAAUCCAAGUCCAUGCAAAUGAGGGUGGCAUCACACAAACGCGUGGUGGUGUAUACUGGUUGAUAUUACCUGCAGGAUUGUUGAGAAAUGCAAACAUUAUUGCAUAUUGUCUUCAUCAGUUACUAUGAAGUGAGCACUUAUUAAUUUUUCCUUUUAAUCUUGUUCAUUAUAUAGUGGACACUCCGUGGACUUUGUAUCGGAUUCAUCAUUUUCCUUACUUUAAUUUGGGUUCUACAAGAAAUGACAACAGUCCGUAUUCUCCGUUACGUUAUUCUCUUUAUAGGU